GGGAUUACAGGGGUGUGUCACCAUACCCAGCCUCAGGGAAUAUGAAGUCAAGUGAGAAAUAAAACAAAACGUGAGGAUUGUCAAGGUACCUGGACAAUGAUUACGUGGUAGUGUGCAGGGCAAGGUUGUCCUGAGUUCAGGGAUCUGGCUGGUUAUCACCUAAUUCACAGCCUGCUUCUGUCCUGAACUUGGAUUCAGAAGCAGUGCGUGUGCGCCCCCUGGUGUGUGAGAAGGGCGUGAGGCCGGCUCCAGUGAUUCUGGGUAGACAACUUGGUCAGGGUGACAAACUGAUCAAAAAUGAAUACUCUGUCCAGUGGUUUUUCAACCAUUGGUAAUUUUGGUGUGCCAUGGGCGAGCUACUGCAAGUUUUAUGCACCUCUAGGCAUUUUGGGGGCCUAUUUUUUAUAACUUUGAUGGUUCAUCACCCUACCCUCAUUUUAAAAAGUAUAUUUUUCAGCCAAUUAUGCCCGCUCAUUGCUGACUAAUGAAAACAGCCCUUCCCCUUGGCUUCACUGCCCCACACUACUCAUUGGCUACUCUUUCUCUAACUCCUUUGCUGUCUCCUCGUCAGCAGUUCUGGGACUGUUAGGCCUCCCCUUUUCUCACUCAGCCCCCUUUCCCUGGACUGUCUGAACUAUUAUCAGCCACAGGGAGAUGACUUCCAAAUCUUCACCUCCAGUCUAGGACUCUCAUCUGAGCUCCGGAUUUAAAUACCAAGAACUUUCUCUGUAUCACUCCCUGGAUGUCCCCCAGGAACCACCAGACAUGAAUGAUCAGGUGAAAGAAGAGCUCCCUGACCAAUCCUUACAACUUGUCCAGACUCUCUUCUGUGGGUUUGCCACAUGCUGGAAGAGGAGUUUAUGAUGUCUUCCACCCCAUGUACCUGCUAACCUGGGCCUCAAUAGGUCUGAUAUUCUGGCAGUUCUGUCCCUCUGUGCAGUGCUUCCCAGCCUGGUGACCCUAACACUUGCAAGGUGGUAUCCAGCUAAAUCUUAGAAAAGAUUAUUCUUCUCAAACUCCCAGAAUACAGCCUCAGUAGGACUGCCAAGCUUGCAGAUUUAUGGCAUAAAGAAAUGAAAACUGAUGAGGCUGAAGAUGUGAUGAAAUUUGGAAUACCGUUUCAGAGUGAGGAGGGAAAUCACGGACACCUCUCUGAGACAGAUGUGACAACUGCUGUAGGAUAAGCACCACUACUGUCUUCCUGAAGCAUGGAACAUACAAAGGCCCGAGUUGCAAAAGGGCCAUAGGAUUCCUGACCACUGACAACAAUGCUUUCUGAAUAGUAAAGCACAGGCCAUGUCACCAGGAGGUGGACAAUGGUAGUAAGAACAGUCUGCCUUUCUUGCAGAUGUUCUACCAACCAGUGGCCUUCGAACCCCACCAUUCCUCAUCUGGAGUGAGAACAGAUGGAUUCAAACAGCUGAUAGCUCGCACCAGAGUCCAAGGUGUGCAUCAUUCUGGUUGUUUAUAGUGAACUUUUCCAUUCCGUCAGCAUGAAAUCACCAAGUAGUGUUGCCCAACACUGGCAUCAGCUGUGACUGGAUUCUGUCAUGUCAGUGAACCCAGCCAACCCACUCCGUCAUGGCACCUAGGUGUGGGAAGGAAUGCAACGAGGAGCAAAGGGCAUCCAUAUAAGUGUCCUUUGGUAAUGGCUACACUGGAGAACUAGUUGGUACAGGUUAGUGAGGCAGGAGAGAAGAAAUAAAAAGUAGGCAAAAGGAA